rnacentral:lncRNA from 1 species
AUAAAAACCCUAGGUCCAACCGCCGGAAACCUUACUGGAAAUAGGGUCAGGGAUGUUGGAAAGUCACCCAAAACAUCCAGUGAGUCAGGAUCGAGCCACCGGAUAGCAGUAAAACCCUAGGUUCAACCACCAGAAACCCUAGAAUCCGGAGAGUCACCGGGAAAUCACCCAAAAGUCACCGGAAAAUCACCCAAAACGUUCGAGUGAAGAAGAUAUACCCCGAUAUCACAAUGAAAGUCUCAGAUCAACAUCCGAUUAGAUCGGAAUCGUCAUCGACCAAAUAAGUCAGAAACACCCCCAAAAAUUUCAAACGAGACUUCAACCAAGAUAACAAGAUGCAGAAAAGUAUAGUCGGAUCAUCGUCUAGGCUCUGAUACCAUGAAAACAUCAAGAAAUCCAGACGAAAUCGAAGAACAAGAUGAGAGAGAGUCGAUUAGGUAGAAGCUUUCAGAGAGAGAAAUAAUAUUGAUUUACAAAAUAGAAAAUAUCCGACUGACACUUAUGUUUACAGAGGGUCAUGUAUAUAGGGCUCUGAUACCAUGAAAACAUCAAGAAAUGCAGACGGAAUCGAAGAAAAAGAUGAGAGAGAGUUGGUUAGGUAGAAGCUUCCAGAGAGCUUUCAGAGAGAAAUAAUGUUGAUUCACAAAUGAAAAUAAUAUUCGACUGACCCUUCUGUUUACAGAGGGUCAUGUAUAUAAUUACACAAAAUUGGGCAGAGAACAAACCCGAAAAAUAAAGCCAAACAAAUGGGC